rnacentral:rRNA from 1 species
GACGAACGCUGGCGGCGUGCUUAACACAUGCAAGUCGAACGGAAAGGCCCUGCUUUUGUGGGGUGCUCGAGUGGCGAACGGGUGAGUAACACGUGAGUAACCUGCCCUUGACUUUGGGAUAACUUCAGGAAACUGGGGCUAAUACCGGAUAGGAGCUCCUGCUGCAUGGUGGGGGUUGGAAAGUUUCGGCGGUUGGGGAUGGACUCGCGGCUUAUCAGCUUGUUGGUGUGAUAGUGGCUUACCAAGGCUUUGACGGGUAGCCGGCCUGAGAGGGUGACCGGCCACAUUGGGACUGAGAUACGGCCCAGACUCCUACGGGAGGCAGCAGUGGGGAAUAUUGCACAAUGGGCGGAAGCCUGAUGCAGCAACGCCGCGUGCGGGAUGACGGCCUUCGGGUUGUAAACCGCUUUCGCCUGUGACGAAGCGUGAGUGACGGUAAUGGGUAAAGAAGCACCGGCUAACUACGUG